rnacentral:misc_RNA from 1 species
CGCAGAGUACGCCCGGUACGCUACCGGCGACGAAUCAAAACACCGCCCAUUGAGGGUUGAGGGUUUUGCAUUCGCUGAAAGAGUCUACUAAGAAUCUCCCUUGUGCAUUCCAGUGUCUCCUUCAAAAUUGUUGACAUUGAAAGGCCUGUCUCUGUUAUACUAGCUAACUUAAGGAUAUGUCCCAUCUGGUUUCUUUGAUUUUGUAAAUAUGUG